CAGUCGCCACGGUAAUACGAAGGGGGCUAGCGUUGCUCGGAAUCACUGGGCGUAAAGGGUGCGUAGGCGGGUCUUUAAGUCAGGGGUGGAAUCCUGGAGCUCAACUCCAGAACUGCCUUUGAUACUGAAGAUCUUGAGUUCGGGAGAGGUGAGUGGAACUGCGAGUGUAGAGGUGAAAUUCGUAGAUAUUCGCAAGAACACCAGUGGCGAAGGCGGCUCACUGGCCCGAUACUGUCGCUGAGGCACGAAAGCGUGGGGAGCAAACAGGAUUAGAUACCCCGGUAGUCCCUGUCUCUUAUAC
rnacentral:rRNA from 1 species